rnacentral:rRNA from 1 species
CUACAAAAGUUUCUACAAAGGGAAGCAACAAUGAAAAUUAGAGCUAAUCCUCAAAGGAAAUUUCAGUACGGAUAAGAAUCUGGAACUCGAUUCUUUGAAGUUGGAAUUGCUAGUAAUCGUCUAUCAGCAAGAGACGGUGAAACUUCUAUCUGUGAUGUACUAACUACUCGUCAAGCGCGGAUAUUUAUAGGGAAUAUCAAGCUCUGCGUCUAUUCUCUAGAGAUUUGUGCUAAG